GAUGAACGCUAGCUACAGGCUUAACACAUGCAAGUCGAGGGGAAACGAUAUUGGAAGCUUGCUUCCGAUAGGCGUCGACCGGCGCACGGGUGAGUAACGCGUAUCCAACCUGCCCAUCACUUGGGAAUAACCUUGCGAAAGUAAGACUAAUGCCCAAUGACAUUUAUAGAAGGCAUCCGAAAUGAAUUAAAGAUUUAUCGGUGAUGGAUGGGGAUGCGUCUGAUUAGCUUGUUGGCGGGGUAACGGCCCACCAAGGCGACGAUCAGUAGGGGUUCUGAGAGGAAGGUCCCCCACAUUGGAACUGAGACACGGUCCAAACUCCUACGGGAGGCAGCAGUGAGGAAUAUUGGUCAAUGGGCGAGAGCCUGAACCAGCCAAGUAGCGUGCAGGAAGACGGCCCUAUGGGUUGUAAACUGCUUUUAUAGGGGAAUAAAGUGAGCCACGUGUGGUUUUUUGCAUGUACCCUAUGAAUAAGGACCGGCUAAUUCCGUGCCAGCAGCCGCGGUAAUACGGAAGGUCCGGGCGUUAUCCGGAUUUAUUGGGUUUAAAGGGAGCGUAGGCCGGAGAUUAAGCGUGUUGUGAAAUGUAGACGCUCAACGUCUGCACUGCAGCGCGAACUGGUUUCCUUGAGUACGCAUAAAGUGGGCGGAAUUCGUGGUGUAGCGGUGAAAUGCUUAGAUAUCACGAAGAACUCCGAUUGCGAAGGCAGCUCACUGGGGCGCAACUGACGCUGAAGCUCGAAAGCGCGGGUAUCGAACAGG
rnacentral:rRNA from 1 species